UUAAGCGACUAAGCGUACACGGUGGAUGCCCUGGCAGUCAGAGGCGAUGAAGGACGUGCUAAUCUGCGAUAAGCGUCGGUAAGGUGAUAUGAACCGUUAUAACCGGCGAUUUCCGAAUGGGGAAACCCAGUGUGAUUCGUCACACUAUCAUUAACUGAAUCCAUAGGUUAAUGAGGCGAACCGGGGGAACUGAAACAUCUAAGUACCCCGAGGAAAAGAAAUCAACCGAGAUUCCCCCAGUAGCGGCGAGCGAACGGGGAGCAGCCCAGAGCCUGAAUCAGUGUGUGUGUUAGUGGAAGCGUCUGGAAAGGCGCGCGAUACAGGGUGACAGCCCCGUACACAAAAAUGCACAUGCUGUGAGCUCGAUGAGUAGGGCGGGACACGUGGUAUCCUGUCUGAAUAUGGGGGGACCAUCCUCCAAGGCUAAAUACUCCUGACUGACCGAUAGUGAACCAGUACCGUGAGGGAAAGGCGAAAAGAACCCCGGCGAGGGGAGUGAAAAAGAACCUGAAACCGUGUACGUACAAGCAGUGGGAGCACGCUUAGGCGUGUGACUGCGUACCUUUUGUAUAAUGGGUCAGCGACUUAUAUUCUGUAGCAAGGUUAACCGAAUAGGGGAGCCGAAGGGAAACCGAGUCUUAACUGGGCGUUAAGUUGCAGGGUAUAGACCCGAAACCCGGUGAUCUAGCCAUGGGCAGGUUGAAGGUUGGGUAACACUAACUGGAGGACCGAACCGACUAAUGUUGAAAAAUUAGCGGAUGACUUGUGGCUGGGGGUGAAAGGCCAAUCAAACCGGGAGAUAGCUGGUUCUCCCCGAAAGCUAUUUAGGUAGCGCCUCGUGAAUUCAUCUCCGGGGGUAGAGCACUGUUUCGGCAAGGGGGUCAUCCCGACUUACCAACCCGAUGCAAACUGCGAAUACCGGAGAAUGUUAUCACGGGAGACACACGGCGGGUGCUAACGUCCGUCGUGAAGAGGGAAACAACCCAGACCGCCAGCUAAGGUCCCAAAGUCAUGGUUAAGUGGGAAACGAUGUGGGAAGGCCCAGACAGCCAGGAUGUUGGCUUAGAAGCAGCCAUCAUUUAAAGAAAGCGUAAUAGCUCACUGGUCGAGUCGGCCUGCGCGGAAGAUGUAACGGGGCUAAACCAUGCACCGAAGCUGCGGCAGCGACGCUGAUGCGUUGUUGGGUAGGGGAGCGUUCUGUAAGCCUGCGAAGGUGUACUGUGAGGUAUGCUGGAGGUAUCAGAAGUGCGAAUGCUGACAUAAGUAACGAUAAAGCGGGUGAAAAGCCCGCUCGCCGGAAGACCAAGGGUUCCUGUCCAACGUUAAUCGGGGCAGGGUGAGUCGACCCCUAAGGCGAGGCCGAAAGGCGUAGUCGAUGGGAAACAGGUUAAUAUUCCUGUACUUGGUGUUACUGCGAAGGGGGGACGGAGAAGGCUAUGUUGGCCGGGCGACGGUUGUCCCGGUUUAAGCGUGUAGGCUGGUUUUCCAGGCAAAUCCGGAAAAUCAAGGCUGAGGCGUGAUGACGAGGCACUACGGUGCUGAAGCAACAAAUGCCCUGCUUCCAGGAAAAGCCUCUAAGCAUCAGGUAACAUCAAAUCGUACCCCAAACCGACACAGGUGGUCAGGUAGAGAAUACCAAGGCGCUUGAGAGAACUCGGGUGAAGGAACUAGGCAAAAUGGUGCCGUAACUUCGGGAGAAGGCACGCUGAUAUGUAGGUGAAGUCCCUCGCGGAUGGAGCUGAAAUCAGUCGAAGAUACCAGCUGGCUGCAACUGUUUAUUAAAAACACAGCACUGUGCAAACACGAAAGUGGACGUAUACGGUGUGACGCCUGCCCGGUGCCGGAAGGUUAAUUGAUGGGGUCAGCGCAAGCGAAGCUCUUGAUCGAAGCCCCGGUAAACGGCGGCCGUAACUAUAACGGUCCUAAGGUAGCGAAAUUCCUUGUCGGGUAAGUUCCGACCUGCACGAAUGGCGUAAUGAUGGCCAGGCUGUCUCCACCCGAGACUCAGUGAAAUUGAACUCGCUGUGAAGAUGCAGUGUACCCGCGGCAAGACGGAAAGACCCCGUGAACCUUUACUAUAGCUUGACACUGAACAUUGAGCCUUGAUGUGUAGGAUAGGUGGGAGGCUUUGAAGUGUGGACGCCAGUCUGCAUGGAGCCGACCUUGAAAUACCACCCUUUAAUGUUUGAUGUUCUAACGUUGACCCGUAAUCCGGGUUGCGGACAGUGUCUGGUGGGUAGUUUGACUGGGGCGGUCUCCUCCUAAAGAGUAACGGAGGAGCACGAAGGUUGGCUAAUCCUGGUCGGACAUCAGGAGGUUAGUGCAAUGGCA
rnacentral:rRNA from 1 species